GUGCUUGCUUUGGCAGCACAUAUACUAAAAUUGGAUCGAUACAGAGAAGAUUAGCAUGGCCCCUGCGAAACGAUUAUCGCCUUUCUCAAGUGGCCCAUCAAGAGACA
rnacentral:snRNA from 8 species